rnacentral:rRNA from 1 species
AUUGAACGCUGGCGGCAUGCCUUACACAUGCAAGUCGAACGGUAACAGGGUGCUUGCACCGCUGACGAGUGGCGAACGGGUGAGUAAUGCGUCGGAACGUGCCGAGUAGUGGGGGAUAACGCAGCGAAAGUUGUGCUAAUACCGCAUACGUACUGAGGUAGAAAGUGGGGGACCUUCGGGCCUCACGCUAUUCGAGCGGCCGACGUCCGAUUAGCUAGUAGGUGGGGUAAAGGUUCACCUAGGCGACGAUCAGUAGCGGGUCUGAGAGGAUGAUCCGCCACACUGGGACUGAGACACGGCCCAGACUCCUACGGGAGGCAGCAGUGGGGAAUUUUGGACAAUGGGCGAAAGCCUGAUCCAGCCAUGCCGCGUGUCUGAAGAAGGCCUUCGGGUUGUAAAGGACUUUUGUCGGGGAGGAAAUCCCCAGCGUUAAUACCGCUGGGGGAUGACAGUACCUGAAGAAUAAGCACCGGCUAACUACGUGCCAGCCGCCGCCGUAAAAC